AACUCUUCCCCUUUACCAGAUUCAUUUUGCCCGUGGAUUUCUAAACCCAAACUUUCAUUUCCCUUUCCUCUUCUCCCUAACUCACGGUGGCUACCUAUGCUCCGACCACCUCCAUCGAUGGUUGGGCUCUAACCCGAACGAAACUAAACCGGAAUCCCAGCCCUCACCCAUCUAUAUUCCGUCGAGAAAAUCAACAAGGAAGGUGUCAACCGUGAACGAUUAGCCUUGCUGGAUUGUUGGUGAUUGCCGCUAGCUGGCUAAUUUUGCACUCGGUUGCGGUUACAGCUGUUGCCACAUUGGGGAUAAGCACAUGGCUCACAAGGAGAUGACAGCUGAACGUCGAGAGAGGGUGAUGAACGGUGUUGAAGAUACAUUUGGAAUGAACAAGAAUCAAUAAUUUUGCAAAUUCUCUAUUUGAAUAUAGAACGUAGAUGUUUUAUUUAUGGCUUCUUGAAUGAAGAUGUUAAUUUAACAUCAGCCAUCGUCAUUACUAUUUUUUCAAAUUGAUUUGCUU